rnacentral:rRNA from 1 species
CUACGUGCCAGCAGCCGCGGUAAUACGUAGGGUGCGAGCGUUGUCCGGAAUUACUGGGCGUAAAGAGCUCGUAGGUGGUUUGUUGCGUCGUCUGUGAAAUUCCGGGGCUUAACUUCGGGGUGGCAGGCGAUACGGGCAUAACUAGAGUGCUGUAGGGGAGACUGGAAUUCCUGGUGUAGCGGUGGAAUGCGCAGAUAUCAGGAGGAACACCGAUGGCGAAGGCAGGUCUCUGGGCAGUAACUGACGCUGAGGAGCGAGAGCAUGGGGAGCGAACAGGAUUAGAUACCCUGGUAGUCCAUGCUGUAAACGGUGGGCGUUAGGUGUGGGGACCGGUUUGGUUUCUGUGCCGUAGCUAACGCAUUAAGCGCCCCGCCUGGGGAGUACGGCCGCAAGGCUAAAACUCAAAGGAAUUGACGGGGGCCCGCACAAGCGGCGGAGCAUGUGGAUUAAUUCGAUGCAACGCGAAGAACCUUACCUGGGUUUGACAUGCACCAGACGGUUGUAGAGAUACGUA